AGUAUUCUCACCCGGGAGUACUCCAAAAUCUGUAAACUAGCUGACAAAAGUGUAAUGGCGUCUUCUGGUUUUCAAGCUGAUGUCAAAGCCCUACAAAAGCAUUUGGCAGCCAGGCACUUGAUCUAUCAACACCAACACAACAAGCAAAUGAGCUGUCCUGCCAUGGCUCAACUACUCUCGAACACUCUCUACUAUAAACGCUUCUUUCCGUACUAUGCUUUUAAUGUUCUAGGUGGUCUUGAUAGUGAAGGAAAGGGCUGUGUCUACACUUAUGAUGCUGUUGGUUCCUAUGAGAGGGUUGGAUAUAGUGCUCAGGGUUCUGGUUCCACUCUUAUCAUGCCUUUCCUGGAUAACCAACUGAAGUCUCCCAGUCCUCUCUUAUUGCCUGCCCAGGAUGCUGUAACUCC
rnacentral:misc_RNA from 1 species